AAUCACUCGUCGUGUAGGUUAAGGCGGCGGCUUUUCAGUUAGAUUAGGGCAUCGCCGCAACGAUCUAUGAUAAUCGUGUGUGUAUGUAUCUAUUUGAGUGUAAAGUGCUGAAUCGUUUCGUGAUGCUAUCUGUUUCGAAGUUUAAAAACAGUAAACAAUGAAGAAGAUGCUCCAGAAAAACAAAACAAUGAUCUGCCUGAUUGGGUUGGCAAGGGAAAACAGUAGUUCUACCAAAUCCGCCUCAAAGUGGACAACGAGAAAUGCCAACAUAUUCGUUGCGGAAUUCCCACUUUGCUUGAUAUUUUGGUCAUGCAGCUGAUAUGAGGCAAAAGAACCCAAAGGCUGGCAACCCAUUUAAUGAAAUUGCACCUAUUAAAUGGGAGAUAAUUUGUGACCACUGCGAGGGAUUCCUUGUGACUCGGCCAACUGUGUGCGAGAGAACAUCAGAAGAGCACACAAUUGCUGAAGGCGAAAGCAUUGGAAGCAGCUAUGAAUGACAUUAAUAACUCAUUUGGAAAAGGAGCUGUAACAAGAUUAGGCAAUGCUGGUGGAUCUCUUGUUGACUCUUUUCCAAGUGGUUGUCUGACAUUGGACAUUGCAUUGGGUGUCGGCCUUCCUAGAGGAAAUAUUGUUGAGGUAUGUUUUCGUACACACUUUGAGGUAUUGUAAAACAAACUCAGUACAAUCUUUUUCACGUGAAGAUUAUCUUGUUUAAUAUCCAGGAUACGUAUGGCUCUGAGAUGGUGAAGUAAACAAUGAAGAUGAUGCUCCAAAAAGAUGGAAAACAGUAACUAAGGCUGGCUAAUCUGCUACUUAUCUGCUAUUAAGAAGCUGCUGCUUGUCUACUUGGUUAUUUCGUUGAAGAUAAAGCAACGCGACAUAUCGGGAACUUUUGAAAUUGCAAGAACUAAGUUAAAAGCUGGCAAUGUAGAUGAUUUUUUUCCAAGUAGUUGAACCUACCAAUGUAUUCCUUACCAUAUUGUCUUAUUCUUAUUUCUAUGUAACAUCAAUGCUCAAAAGACUUAAAAUCUAAGUUACUCAAGUAGUUUUUAUAUUUGUCUGUUUAUUUAUUUACCUAUAUAAUGUAUAUAAUACGUGUGAUGACAGAGGAUCGAUUCAGCACUUUGUAAAAAAAUUCAUAGUUUACAUGCUACUCACUUGACGUAUAUGUAAUUAAUAUUAUUUUUAAAAUUUUAUACUAAAGAAUGUCAAAUCUUAUAUCUAUAUAAAGCAAAAUCGCGGGCGUCUUACGUGGCGCUCUUUACGCUCUUGAAUCAAAAUCCCUACUCUCUGCACUUUUGGCUAUUUCUUUUAUAUUUUCUCUCAGCUUGCCUAGCGGUUAUGUUCAGCCUGGGACUUGGACAGGCACUUCAGUUACCCGCUCCGUAACUGAGGUCUCUGUGCCUCCUCAGAGAUUUACUUAUAAAUGGCCUUCUCUGGACAAUCUUUUCACACCGGGGAAAGCCGAUCGGCAUGAAUAUGACGGAUUCAGCUAGAGGGUCAAAGCGGGUAUGUAUGUUAUUCUUGCUGAUUUUCAGGGUUGAUUUAUGUUAUAUGAUCAUAGUCGUGGGCAGUUAUCUCCUUCUGAUUUAUCCGGAGAGCAUAGCAGCAGAUUUUUAUGUAUGUGCAGUUCGUUGUCUUUAUCAAUUUCUAUGUGUAUUUGAAUUGGUGUCUGUGUUUCAUUAGGGUUUUGAUGCUUAAUUUAUCGUGGAUUUUGAUUUUUUAAUUGGUGAUGAUUAGGAUAAAGUCUUAGAUUUGACAGAGGCAAGGAAAGGCGAGGAAAAUCCAGGCAUCCAGCUGUAUGCUCAAAAACAAACCUCCAGCGCAAGUGGAGACUGUUCUAAGUGACUGCUCCUCAGCAGCAGUUCACCAACCUAAGCGCAAGAGCCAUCGUUACAUUCCACAGGCGGUGAUUAUUUUUUUCAACUUACUUUAAGGGGACUUGUGUGUUCAUGCCUUGCUAAUAAUAGUUGUCAUUUGUUUCUUGUAUUCACAUAUGAAAUGUUUUUGCAGCUCAAGGUAAUACGUAGUUGCAGCUUAGUCAUUCCACAUGCAAUUUUAUUUUACAAGCACUUGUGAUUUAUGAUAGAAAUCUUCUCAUUUAUUGUGUCAUUUCUCGGACUUCAAUCUUCUUUUCAGGGAGAUCUUGUAUGGGCAAUCAGUUCAGACACGAUUCAUUCUCUCGUGGGACUCUCUGAACUUUUCUUUGUACUUCCGCUUAUGAAUUCAGUUCUAGGCCUGUGAGCUUUCAAGGAUGUUCUUGCAUUGGCGUCACUCGACAGGGCCAACAAUUGAGCUGUUGAGAAACAAAAAAUAAAAGAGGCCUUCGAAGAUGGUUUUAGGAGUUGCGUAAAGAUUUUUAUGGCCAUUGAUCCGAAAUAUAUUGGGCAGACAAAUUUGGCGAAGGGGUGGCCAAAUGGAUGAAAGAAUUUUCUGUUAUGGAGGCCGUUGUAUUACUGAGAGAAAUGCUCUGUGAAAGCGAGAGAUAGAGCACACCUUUAAAAUCCAAAUACAAAAGAUGAUGUUUGCUCAGAGAAAACAGAGGAUGUACUUCAACUACUUUAACUUAAAAAUUUAUGAAAUGUUUUGGGACUUCUUUUAGUGUGAGCAGCCUUUGAGGCUUUGCAAAUUGUAGGAUAAUGGUGGACAAAAAUUGUCUUGUCUUGAUUAAGAUAUUGUAUAAGCUGCUAUUUAUUUGGUUCUCAACUUUUAGACAAAUGUGUUAUCUUUAAUGUAAAAGUUUAAAUUUGCAAUUUUAAAGUUUUUUAUUUUGUUU